rnacentral:lncRNA from 1 species
GUCGUAACAAUUGUUUAUAUUUAAUUAGUUGACAAGUCGUCGUGAAAAUUAUACUUACAUUGUUUUUGCUGAAAAUCUGAUUUCAUUAAAUAGACUAACAUUUGUUUUCUUUCUAACGUUCAGGAUAUUUUGAAAUAAUAGAAGCGAGAACUCGUGGUCACAGUGGUCGUUCGUGCUGCAGCAGUUGGAAUUCUUAGUAACGAGGAUUCAUGGCCACCUAAAACUUGCCGUUUUCCAGGCUUCUACAAUAACUUAGAAGUGACUGCCUGUCUGACCUUUCAAACCGCGAAGGGAAAACCAGCCCAGUACAGGUUGUUUCGGUGGCCGAUAAAACACAAAAAUUGGAAAAGCCAUGUUUGCAUGAAAUCUAUCAAAAAGGUUAAUUUCAUUAGUUUCAAAUAGGUAGAAUGGAAUAUAAAGGAAGUAAGGGGCAAAUGAUUUGGGCGUAAAGGUAGAAAGUUACCAGAAUACUUCAUAUAUUACGAAACUUUUUAAUGUAUUCCUGGUAUCCACAUUCAUUUUUAUUACCCGUGUUUACAUACUUGGACGUAUGAACGUACCUAGUUAUAGGCGCUUAUCUUUGUUAAUGACAUUAUUAUCAGCGUCUCUGACACAGUAGGCAGGUUAAUGAUAAUGACUAUUAUAAGGACAAGUGGCUUCUUUAUCAAUAGUUUUACGGAUACCUACUUUAAAUACAGCUCCUGUCUGGCAGGUUAUAGACUGGUAUGCGGUCUACAAAGUUCCACCUUUCGUCCGAAUUUUACAUGUCGAAAUAAUUAAUUACGCACUGUAUGUAAUUGAUUGGGUAUCUAGGGACCCUAUCUCACUUCCUAGUGGUACCUACCAUGUAGGUAGCACCAUGGUAGCGCUUCUCACAAAAUGUAUGCAUUUGUGUAAAGGGUAGCUAUUAUCUGGUUUCGCAAUAAAUAGAAAUUGAUAUUUGAUUGGUUCUUAGUCUAUUUUUGACUGAAAUAGUCUAUAUAUCAAUAUCAAUUUAAGGUUUUGUUUUAGUAGAUAUUCCAAAAUAGAUGUGUGAACCGAUACAGUCCUAAAAAGCUUUCGUAAAGUAAAAUCAACAUGUUCCUGAAUUUUCCCGCGCCGGGUUUAAGCCUUCAGUUGAUUUUGCUAAAAGUAAAUUCAUGAAUAUAGAAAAUAAUGCCGACGAUGAUACAAAUAGUAAGGUCAAAAACUAACCAGGCAACAUGCAGACGAAUGCAUACUUCGCCAUGCUCAUUCUUACGACACUCACAAAAUCCCUGAAUCAACUUCAUCUACUACAAGGUAAACAAAGAUUGUAGAUAUAUUUCGCCAACAAUAAUGGCACAGACGUCACAUUACAUACGUCGUCUACCACAUGUGCAAACAUGUCCGCCAUGUAAAUUGCAUAUUCAAAUUAUCCUCCAUUGCAAAAUUAAAGAGAGAAACAAAAAAAGUGAGUGGCACGCUUCAUUCAGCGCCCCACCCGCCUGAGGGUAAUAUGAAUAGACACGAAUCGAGGGCGCAACACCCUUCGCAAUCAAUUGAAAACCCUCAUCUAUUAACUAUCUUCCUUCCCAUUCUCACUUCACAUAAAUCAUAUCACCCGUCCUUGUCUAAAACACGAUUUAAACGGCGCGAAAGUUAUGAGUAUGCCUCGUGGCAAGCAAUUUUCAAGAUGAUUUUUUUUUGAAUUUGUAUUUGAAGUUGCUAAGAUUAAUAAAAGCAUUUUACUACAU